CAAACUUCACUUGGAAACACACAGGAGUUGUUCGAGACGUUUGGAGCGGUUUUUUUCUCUCCUCCAUGUCUCCUCCGGGGCUCCAAAGAUGCGCUCACAGAGAAGAAGAAGACAACAAAGCAGUCGCCGUCUUCACAACUCAGAGACAAACUGUAGCAGGCGCUACGAACCGGAGCAAGGACUAACCUCGCCUCAUAACGAGGCCGUGACCUAUAUUUGCUCGGAGCUGUCUGCAAGUCCAGAUUUACAUGACGCUGAUAAUGACGCCACUGUGUCUGCCUGUAAGACAUAUUACCAGACAGCACACAGGAGCUUCAGCUAGAAACAACCAGAUGUGGCAUCGCGGGCUGAAGCUGUGAAGAGUUCAGCUCGGAGUCGAUCGAUCGAGAAGAA